CUUGCUCCGCGUGUACUCACGGGAGGACUCGCAGACGUUACUGCCCUCUUGCGUGCCCCGGCCACCCCCGGGCGGCUUGUAGCCGGUGCGCGGGGUGGCUGGGGCUACGUGCAGAGCUGUCGCGGAGCCGGAACAGCAGCGGUGAAGCCCCUCGGCUCGGCCGAGACCGCCGUGCCCAUUGCUCGCCUCGGUUGCCGCCGCUUUAGCCGCAGCCGCUGCUGCCGCCGCCGGGGGAGAGGCAGCCUAUUGUCUUUCUCCGCGGCGAAGGUGAGGAGCUGUCUCGGCUCGGCCCGCGGGGGAGCCCCGGGAGCCGCACGGUGGCAUUUUUCAACUCCGCUGGAGCCAGUGCCCAGGAGGAACAAAGGGUGUGCUGCCAGCCCCUGGCUCACCCAGUGGCCUCGUCCCAGAAGAAGCCAGAGGUAGCGGCCCCAGCCCCAGAGAGUGGGGGUGAGUCUGUGUUUGGGGAGACCCACCGGGCCCUGCAGGGGGCCAUGGAGAAGCUGCAGCGACUUUAUGGAAGGAGAAGGUGGACCUGAAGGAGCGGGUAGAGAAACUAGAGCUUCAAUUCAUCCACCUCUCAGGACAGACAGACACCAUAGAAAGUACAUCAGCCAGGGGGCAGUGUCAGAGACGCAGCACUGGGAGAGGAGGACAUCGUCAGGCUGGCCCAGGACCAGGAGGAGAUGAAGGUGAACCUGCAGGAGCUGCGGGGCAGGUGUUGCAGCUUGUGGGCGACCACAAGGAGGGGCAUGGCAAAUUUUGACCAUUGCCCAGAACCCUGCUGAUGAGCCCACUCUAGGAGCCCCAGUAGCCCAGGAGCUUGGGUGUGCUGACGAGCAGGGUGGCUUUUAUCCUAGAUCACCACUGGAUUGCUGACAGAUAGAGGAGGUGGGACCCUGACUAUCACCCCUAAUCUGCAGUGGAUUUGGCUCUCGGCACUCCCAGGCUGGGAGCUGGAUACCUGCCCUGGCAGCAUGGCUCAGACUGCAUGACAGAGAACGUGGCCAGUGGAGACGGCACACUGGAAAUCAGAGUGAAUGUUCUUGAAAGAGGGUCACGGGUCAACAAGGCCCAGCCAAAGGAUGCAGUAGAACCAUUUUCCUUAGAAAUCUUUGGGAGUGAAGUAGGCUUCAGCCACUCCCAUCCCUGCCCUUGCGGCUACCACUACCCCAUUAGUUUAGACAGGGUCGGGCGGGGAGGGGUGUGGAGAAGAAAUGAGCUUGCCUGUGGCCCCCAGGCUCCCUCUGUCCUAGCUCAGGUCUGGGUGCCAUUCUUUACACUCGUGUGCUCGCUCACGCACACAUCACACACCUUGCUGGUCACACAGUCACAGACUCGCCUCUGCUCCUGUGGUCCAGUGGCCGGACACCCCCUGGGAUGGCUCAAAGGAGUCAGGACUUGGAAGUGGGGACAUCAGGGUAGCUGAAGGAAAUCCACACACCCAGAGCAUCUCGGAGUUCAGACUCUCAGACCUGAAGUAGGCGCCCCCGGGACUGGGCUAGGAGUUGGACGGAAUGGAGGAUGGAGGACAGCGAGAAGAAAGGAAGAGAAAUGCAAAGUGUGGGCAGCCGCCAAGAGUGAAAAUAGAGGGAAGUGUCAUGCAAGUGCUGGACAGAAGGCGGCAGGUGGGACGAGCCCCACAGCCCCCUCCUCAAAAACGACCACCUCCAGGACUCAGUGAUCCCUGGGGGGCAGGCUCUGCCAGCCCUCGGCCACACGUGGCUCCGGCACCCAUGGUCCCAGUGCCUUGGAUGGAGACGGCCAGUUCUGGCGGCCAGAUGUGGUGCUCUGGAAUCCAGUCCCAUUUCCUUCCUGGCCACGCCUGUCCAGCGGCCUCUUUGGCUGCAUUCAGCCCCUACUUACCUGGGGACCCCGGCUGGGGCACAAGAGCACCAGGGGGGUAGGGCCCAAAGGGAUCAGGGGAAGCCUCUGGCCUGGAGGGUAUGGGGCACACUUCCCCAAGGGCGGACCCAGCAGGAGGAAGCCCAGGAGCUGGGUCCUGCCGCCCAGGAGCUGGGCCCUGCCACCCAGGCCGGGCUAGGGACAUGGCAGGGCCUGGGCAUCCUGGCGCUGGACUUGGGCGACCUGGGAGGCACAGGGAGGGGAGAGAUGGGCGGCCCCGCCCCAGCGCAGUGCCGGCCACACCCAUGCACUGAAGCUCCUCCCUGCCACACCCCAAGGCGGUUGCCGGAGCUUAAGCCCCGCCCCCAGCAGCGAGAACAUCCCACCCCCCCCCCCCCCCCCCCCCGCAGCCAGUGCUCCUUGUCAAGCUCCCCCCGUCACUCCAGGUGGGAGCCACCCCGGUGAGGGGGUGUGCCACUUGUCCCCAGGGCACUCCUCUGGGCAUCCCGGGUGGGGGAUUUUGGGGCCGUGGGGGGCAGUCUCUGGUACCUGUGUGCGUCAGGGAUGCUCUGCACCUGCAACCAGGUGUCGUCCACGGGCGGGGGCAUGGUAACAGUGGUCCUGUUGAUGUCACCGAUGAUGCUGAGCGCCUCCUUCAGCGCGUGGUGCAUGUGCAGCAUCUCGUCGUGCUGCUGUGCCUGCUCUGCCAACUCCUCCAUCAGUGUGUUCUGGUUCCCACAUGAGUACAUAUUGGCCAGCGGCUCCGAGAUGAUGAACUCCGGGGUCUGAGAGUGGGCAAACAGGGAAGAAGGUUGGGACCUGGUGCCUGUGCCGCCCUGGCUGCCUUGCUGGGCCCUUCUGGGACUGUGCGCUGGACUUGGAGCCCCUUGGAGUAUGGCUUUUCACACGGGCUUCUAUACCGCUUCGACUGGAAGAUCCACCUCCCCACUGCCUUUUCUCACUCAGAUGGGGACACCGAGGUCCAGAGGAAAAGACACCUGUCAAAUGUCACAGAUCUGGGAGGGGACUUAAGACCUAUCAUGCCAAGAGGACACCUGUCUACUCAGUUUUUUUUUGGUGGGGCGGGGGGCGGUGAUAGGGUCUCGCUCUGUCACCAGGCUGGAGUACAGUGAUGACUGCUCACUGCAGCCUCCACCUCCUGGGCUCAAAGUGAUCCUCCAACGUCAGCCUCUCGAGUAGCUAGGACUACAGGCACAUGCCACCACCAAGCCCAGCUAUUUUUAAAAUUUUUGUGUGGAGACAAGGUCUCACUAUGUGGCCCAGGCUGGUCUCGAACUCCUGGGCUCAAGUGAUCCUCCUGCCUCGGCCUCCAGGAGUGGGAGUUGGAGUUGAUACCUGGAUACAGGAGCUCUGUGGGUGGGAGUGAGGCAAAACACAGGGUCCUGAGGUCUGGGGACCAAGCAAUGUCCUCUGGUGAAAAAAAUCCUGGACUUGCUGGCAGAAGUUUUGCCUCUUACUUGCCAUGUGCUCUGAAUACAUUUACCUGCCCUCUGG